rnacentral:rRNA from 1 species
CCCUUAGAUGUCCUGGGCUGCACGCGCGCUACACUGAUGUGUCCAGUAAGCACCUAACCUCUUCCGAAAGGAACGGGUAACCUUUGCAAAGCACAUCGUGAUGGGGAUAGAUUAUUGCAAUUAUUAGUCUUGAACGAGGAAUUCCUAGUAAGCACAAGUCAUCAGCUUGUGUUGAUUACGUCCCUACCCUUUGUACACACCGCCCGUCGCUCCUACCGAUUGAGUGAUCCGGUGAGGCUCUGGGACCUGGACGGAAAGAGCGUUUCGCUUGUUCUGUUUGGGAAACUUGGUCGAACCUUAUCAUUUAGAGGAAGGAGAAGUCGUAACA